rnacentral:rRNA from 1 species
AUGUGCCUCAGUAUUAGGGCUGGUUGCCUUUCACUGAUUUUUCUUUUCUUUUCAGUAGCUAAGCAGUUUUUGGCUUGGUUAGUACUUGGAUGAGAGGCCACCAGGAAAUCCUAGGUUGGCAGAUU